GUCCACUGUGAGGCUCCGCCCCCUGCAGGUGGUCAGUGAAGGCACACUCUCUGUCCUCUGACUGAAAACCUACAGAGAGAGAGCAGGUCUGCUGUCACGGACACGCCAGGCUCCAACCUCACAACCACAGCGGACUCCAUCAGCAGAAUUAUAAUCAAACACCUGCUGCCAAUCACACACCUGAUCCUCAUCUGCAUCGCCUCAGCUCCAGUACAAAAACACCCCGCUCACCUCAGUCAGUGUCCGGUCUCGUUUCUACGAGGACACGACUCUCUGCAAGACAACGCUUCGGCAUCAAGCCUUCGAUCAGAGUUUCUCCUCUCCUGAGUUCUCCAGCUCCCGAUCUCCUUCCCCGCUAAGCAAAGGACGCUAUCAGUAACCAUCAUCUCCCAUUCUGCUCACUGCUUGUUUCAACUCGUGUACAAUAAAACCAUCUGUGUCUCCA